GAAGGCGGCCGGCGUCCGCUCCUGGCCCGGCGCUGCGGUGUGGGGUGCUGGGAGCGGAGCUGCUCCGGGAUCUUUCCACGUGCGAGCGAUUCGCUUUCAGGUAACGGCACCGAGUGCGCGCGGUGCGGCCGCAAGUAGGGCGGUGCGGGAGGACCUCUAUUCAGCGCUGAAAGCCCAACGUUGGGGUGCUGAGAAUGGCACCCCGUGAGCCCUGUGCUCUAACACCGCGUUCUGCGUUUCUUAGGUGAGGCAGGGUGGAACCACACGGGAAUCGUUCUAAUUUCUGCAACGAAAGCCUUGUUUUAAGACGUGUGGAAUUCCUCAAAAGACGGACAGAGGGAUUUUAGGACACAGGGUUUCCAGACACUGGGAGACCAGUAUAUUGUUUUCUGUGAAAUGGAGAAACGCCUCUGAUCAUCCUUGUUACUUCUUUCUCAGAAAGAUGAGAGGACUGGAACUUGCAGAUACAGUCCCCAUCCAGAAACCUUGCAUUUAUCGCCAGCCUUGAACAUAUGCUCUGACCAGGGGACGCAGGCAGGUGUGCUGUAUUUCAAGGAGCACUCUCCUUUUCCAUGACCUUUCAGCUCCAGCAGAGCGAUGUCAUUUUCAUAAGUUGCAGCAUCAUACUUCUCAUGGAUUAUCAGUUGCUUUAGUCUGUAAGUGUCUGUCUCUCUGUCAUACUGUAUUGUAUCCAACAGCCCAAUCCAGACACGGUAUUGAUGAACUCGAGUUGCUCUGGAAAAGGAGCCAAUGAAAUAUGUUUUGGUACCUCACACAAGCACUGUAUGUUUCAAUUACUCAUAAAUUUUUGCAUUUUAUCAAAGUUUAUGUGGAAUAAAUAUUCAUAUUAUACACGUAUAGUUUCUUUCUGGACUUGUAUGUCGCAGUUGUUCUGAAGGAGGUAGAAGGCUGGUGACACUUAUUGCUGAGUCCUGAAGCUAAUACAGAAAGACAGUACUAAAGGCCAGUGUGUUUAGUGCCCUCACAAAGAGAAAGCAAAGCUUAUGUCUCUGAUAUCAGAUGAAAGAAGAAUGGGCAAAUACACAUGGAACACUGGGCUCGGCAGGUCUUUCCUGCCCACUCCUGCUGGCUCUGGGGAAUAGGUGGCACCAGGGACAUUCUUGGGGGACAGGCACUAGACCUCCCCAGUGCUGAGAGGAGGUAAUUCGUAAUUACUUUUUUGCUCACUGACAAAAUGCUUUGUCUUUGAAUCCCUCCCACUGUUAAUGUGAGCAAAUCAGUGAUUUUAGUUGUGUUAUUGAAUGGGCAAGUAAGAAUUAGCAACCAAGUAGCCGAGAAGAGCAAUAAUGCACAGAUUCAUCUUUUCUACUUUGCAAAGAAAUCAUUUCUCAGGUUGUUGCUUUUACCUGACACAGUGUGCAGCAGUCAGAACCCAACAGCCACCAAUAUAAACCCCUCCACAGUACACUGUUGCACCUUCAGUGCCAGUGUCUUUAAUUGCCACUUGCCAAGGGAAUUCACCCUAUUAAAAUGACAGAAACCCAAAUAAUAUGAAAUCAUCAUUGUGCUAUUUUUUGUGCAUAAAGGGAAACACAAUAUCACUUCAUCUCCUUGACUUAAUCUGCUAUUAAGAAGUUGUCUGUAAUCUGGGCUCUGACAUAAAAGCUCUGUAUUCUAAACUACAGUAACGUUGUUGUCUUCUGACAUUAUGCAGUGUCUCCCUCCCCGCAGCUUUCUGUCAGGAAACUCCUAAAAAAACCAGAUGGAGGAUCUGACCUGGUAUGAUCAAACGUUACAUUUAUGACUAUAAUUAUCAUACAUAGCUAUAGUAUUAAGUAUUUUGCUGGAUUAUUUUCAACACAUACUUGCACUGUAAUGCUGUAUUUUGUAGCUUGGUGUUUUACCUUAUGAACUGUGCUUCUAUUUAUAUUCAUUCAGUGCAUUGUCACUACUAAUGUAAAACAUGAAAUUAAUGUAACUGAUUUUGUUAUUUCCGUACAUUUUAACAGAAGGACAAUAAUAACCAUUUAAAUUGUUACUGAAUGAACACAUGAGCCUAUAUUUGUAAGGUCUGGUUGUGUCUGUGUGUGGGGGGUUAUUAUUAUUUUUUACCUUUCUUGCAGUCUGUCCACCUAUGAUUCUUUUCCGUCGAGUUAAUGUGUGAUUUACAACACCGCAGUUUAUUUGGGGAAGGAAUGUCUUUGCCAGUUUUCUUUCUUUAACAAAAAGGAAGAAUGUGUCUCAGAAUUCAAGUAUUCAUUCUCUCUAUUUGGAGACAGACUUAUCUUUACCUUGAAAUCAUGAGUGCUGUGAGUAUGCAAGUGGCUGAAGUAGCAGGAAAGCAAAAGACCCAGAAUUGUUACAUCUAUUUUUGCUUUGAAAAUUACUUCUGUCUUAGCAUCACAAUAUUUCUGUUUAUUUUUCAUUACUGACAGCAUUCAGGUGAAUAAUUUCAAAGCAGUCGCCGUAGACUUGCUUAGAGUUUACCUCUAUCCGUUGCUAAUAUGUACAGAUGUGGAUCCUGAGGCAGGAUUAAUUAUUAUUGUGGUUGAGAUUAGUGGAAAGCUAGUCAAAUAGUUAAGCCCCAGAGUGUGUACUACUAAGCCACAAAGUCCAUGUAUCUGAGUGUUGCGAAUCUGGCCAACUGGCUGGUAGUUAGAAAGCCACUAAAAAGAGGGUAUACGGUGGUUUGUGGGCCGUUACUUACCUGCAUCCAUACUGUGAUUUUCCUCAUGUUUUGGUUUGCCUGUAGUGGAAUAAUAGAAUACUAAGAACAUUUACAAAUAUUUAUAUUGUUCUGUUACUUGAAUAUUUGGUUGUGUACCAAAAUUAUGGUACAUUUUCAACUGGAUAGGUGCAUAACAUUUCGCAUAGACAGAAAUACUCUGUAAGCAUUGUGCCUGCUGUUUUCUUUUUCCUAGGCACUCAUUGCUGCCAUAGCUUACAAAUGACUGGCAUCCAGCAGAUAUUGAUUUACAACUACAUGAUAUCUAGUCUUCUUUUCUUGUCCAGAGGACCAUUCUGCAAAGAAACCCUGUGAAAUGGCCUCCUUUGUUUUUUGUUUUUUUUUUUAAGUCUCUAAAGCGAUAGACUGCUCUCCUCUACCAGGAAACACCAGAAAUUCCCCCUCCUGCCCCGUCAAUCUUUUGGAGCUUUCUAAAGCCCAAAGGAGCAUUAGAUCAUUCCCCUGGUGUGAUUUUCACUCUUCCUGGUCACCCACAAGCUAUACUCUUCAAAAAUCAGCUGAAGUGCACAACAGAUGAUAAACAUUUCAAGCCAGUGGUUUAUAGCACACCACAACAAUGGAACUGUGAGCAAAUUAAAAUAUAAGGGGACUUCACAGAAUCACACAGAAUGGCCUGGGUUGGAAGGGACUUCAAGGAUCAUGAAUCUCCAACCCACCCCCCUGCCCCCCCGGCACUGGCAGGGCCACCAACCUCUACAUUUAAUACUAGAGCAGGCUGCCAAGAGCCCCGUCCAGCCUAGCCUUGAACACCUCCACGGAUGGGGGAUCCACAACCUCUCUGGGCAGCCUGUUCCAGCACCUUACCACUCUCACAGUAAAGAACUUGCCCCUGACAUCCAACCUAAAUCUUCCCUCCUUCAACUUAAAACCAUUUCCCCUUGUCCUGCUAUUAUCUCCCCUUUCAAAGAAUUGACUCCCCUAACUUGGCUUAAACACCAGAAAAAUGAAAUUAAAAAAAAAAGAGUAGCAACUUGAUUUUUUUUCAAGACCUUUUUAUUGUCCCAGUUGACCCAGUUGACAUAACUAUAGCCAAUAACUACUUAGAAACAAAUAAAUCUAAAAUUGAAGAUGUGUUUCAUUGCAAGUAACAAGUAUUAAGUAUCUUCAACAAAUGUGAAAAUUAAGUGCCCUUCCCAGUCUGUUUUGUUCCCAUAUCUUGGAUGGCAGUGGGUUUGCAGUGUGGUUUCUGGUUGUUGUGGACUGCAAGGAGUGCUCCUUAUCCCUCCAUCUGACCAUCUGUCUCUAGGUGAGUGAUAACACCUAUCCUGGCAGCUCUCUGGUUAUUCCAUUGCUGGCUGAGUGCUUUUGCUCACUAAGAUGUGUGUGCAGGGGGAAUGUUGAAAUGUGAAAAAUAUGUAGCUAGACUUUGCAUAAAGAUGAGAAAGAAAUGUCAGUUGUCAGAUCGGAUUUAUCGGCUUUGAGUGCAUCCACUGAAUCAACAGAGCCAAAGUUUAAAGUUCUCGUGAAGAAAUCCUGGCCUAAGUAAAGGCAGUGGGAAUGUCGCCAGGGCUGAAUUUAUUCCGAGCCCCUCCCACCCUUUUAAGGGCUGUAUAAUCUUAAUAAAUUCUUCCUGUUCUUCUCAGGUCAGUAGAAUCCUAUGCAUUAUCUUUAGAUUUACAUACCAAACUCUGAGCCAGGCCCGGCUUGGCAUAACUCCUGUAUUGCACUAGAUGUUUCUCUUUAGCUCUGACAGAAUAGCAACAAAAGGGGCUGAUCUUUACCUACGGGUUUUUCUUGGAAAGCUCAGGCUAUGCUGAACAUGGAGCCCAUCAGGACUCCUUGAGAGGCUUUUGCCAGAAGAGAUUUUACAACAAAAGCUUUCUGAGCUGAGCCACACUUGCAGGUUGGGUUUAGCAUAGCAUCCCGAUUAAAAGAUUUUCCAAAAGGCUGUUAAUGUAAACCUCAGAUAGAACCGAUAUACAGAGGAGAAACAGCAAGAUUCACAUUUUCAAGCUGGACUAAAACAAAUGUACGAAAUGCAGAUGCUGCAAAAGGAAAUUAAAAAAGACUUUGUUUUUAUAAUAAUAAAUUGUUUUAACUGUUUGCUGUUGGUUGGUUUGUUUUUAAAAUAAGGGGAUACCACAAUAAAAUAAGUUCUUACCUGUGCUCGACAGAAAGAAAAGAGAGAGAAGCAAACCAAGAGAACUGCAACCACUCUCAUGAUGAGGUUUUAUGUCUUUGUAGAGAAAUUCCCCUGGCCGGGACUUUCCCAAUUGCCAGUCGUUAGGUUUGUGUUUAAUUUUUAACCUUUGGUAAAACACUCUGAAGUGGACUCAGAAACAACUACGGGAGCCUUAGAUAUCAACGGAUGAGUCUGCUCUCUCCACACGGAUCCCACCCCAUUUAACCUGUUUUACUGUAAAUAGAGACCAAAGGGAAGCCCUUGAAGCCAACGGUUACAAGGGAGUGCUCAGCAGGGUCUCUCGCUCCCCGCCUGCUGCCAACGCAGACCGAUGGAGCCGCGGGCCGAUCUCCUGGCAGCAGGCACCCCGCUCUGCAGGGAGCUGUUAGGGCAGGUGCGUUCUUAGGUGAGAUACGUGUGUCUGUAUGCAGGCAGGCAAACGGAACGGAUCAACUCCACUAUCUCCGUGCGAGAGCGUAACCGGCGGAGCCUUGCUCAGAGAACUGUUGGGGCAGUGGCCAAUCCACUGCAUCCCACCUGCGGGCGGUUUCCGGGAGAACCGCGGUCUCGGCCGGCACAACGGAACGGCUCCUGCGA
rnacentral:lncRNA from 1 species